AAGCCAUGCAUGUCUAAGUAUAAACAAAUUUAUACAGUGAAACUGCGAAUGGCUCAUUAAAUCAGUUAUAAUUUAUUUGAUAUUCACUUACUACUUGGAUAACCGUGGUAAUUCUAGAGCUAAUACAUGCGUACAUAACCUCGACUUCUGGAAGAGGUGCACUUAUUAGAUAAAAAGCCAACGCGGGCAACCGCUUGUAUGGUGAUUCAUAAUAAUUAAGCGAAUCGCAUGGCCUUGUGCCGGCGAUGAUGCAUUCAAAUUUCUGCCCUAUCAAGUUUCGAUGGUAGGUUAGUGGCCUACCAUGCUUUUAACGGGUAACGGGGAAUUAGGGUUCGAUUCCGGAGAGGGAGCCUGAGAAACGGCUACCACAUCCAAGGAAGGCAGCAGGCGCGCAAAUUACCCAAUCCCGACACGGGGAGGUAGUGACAAUAAAUAACAAUACAGGGCCUUUACGGGUCUUGUAAUUGGAAUGAGUACAAUUUAAAUCCCUUAACGAGGAACAAUUGGAGGGCAAGUCUGGUGCCAGCAGCCGCGGUAAUUCCAGCUCCAAUAGCGUAUAUUAAAGUUGUUGCAGUUAAAAAGCUCGUAGUUGAAUUUUGGCCUUGGGUGGUUUGGUUUGGCCUUCAUUGGUCAAUGCCUUUUCCGCCUAGGUCUUACCUUCUGGGUUAGCUAGUGUCAUUUCGGUGGCGCUAGUGAACCAGAACUUUUACUUUGAAAAAAUUGGAGUGUUUAAAGCAGGCUUUCAAGCCUGAACAUAUUAGCAUGGAAUAAUGAAAUAGGACUUUGGCCUUAUUUCGUUGGUUUCUAAAGCCAAAGUAAUGAUGAAUAGGGAUAGUUGGGGACAUUAGUAUUCAAUUGUCAGAGGUGAAAUUCUUGGAUUUAUUGAAGACUAACUUCUGCGAAAGCAUUUGUCAAGGAUGUUUUCAUUAAUCAAGAACGAAAGUUAGGGGAUCGAAGACGAUCAGAUACCGUCGUAGUCUUAACCAUAAACUAUGCCGACUAAGGAUCGGAUGGUGUUAUAUUUUAUAUUGACCCAUUCGGCAUUUCAGCGAAAGCCAAGUUUUUGGGUUCCGGGGGGAGUAUGGUCGCAAGGCUGAAACU
rnacentral:rRNA from 1 species